AGCCUUUUAGGUAAUGUCUAGGAAUAGCUGGCUUCAAUUCGAGAUUUUGUGGAAAGAGCAAAGUGGGGGAUAGAAAUUUCUGGAAAGGGCAACGGGAUGUGAGCAGAAGUGAGUGUAGAGAUACAGCAACAGCUGGCAUAGCUGGAACCUUGGAGCAAGAGACGGCAGCUCGUCGCUGAGUUCAGCAGUGUCCACUUGCCUGACUGAAAGCCUGGAUUAUCUCAGGAAUCAGAGCCAUUUGCCAGAAGUUUAUGGACAUGGAAACUCUGAGAACACCUGCUGCAGGUCCAGGCCAGUAGGCGCUUUAGGAAACUCCUCAGUGAGGCGGCCAGGAUCACGGUGUGGAAGACGACAAAGGGUAGAAGAGAAGUUAUUGACAGAUAUUCACAGAGAUAGCAGGAUAUUUUGCAAACAAAGAAAAUUUUCUGGAGUCAGUAGUUUAUGCCAAAUCUCUUCCUAAGCGUGCCUGAGUGGGUGUUGCAACUGACUCCCGAAGGAAACAGAGAAGCUAAAGGCCUCUUCCAUGAGGUCAUAAUAGUGGAGGUGAAUGUGGGCAAGCCAGAUGGAGUUUCAGUGUUCUAAUGUGUAUGAAAUAAACACUGAGUUUCCAAGUGUUUGAUACUAUAUUCUUAUUAAAACUUAA
rnacentral:lncRNA from 1 species